AUUCUUCUGUGGCUCAUAAGUGUUAUGAUUGGGUAUUCAUGAGGUUAUGUGAGAUCUAUCUCCCUCAAACCUCAUUACAAUGUCUAGACACUAUUCAUAUGAUA
ensembl:snoRNA